rnacentral:rRNA from 1 species
CAGUAGCCGCGGUAAUACGAAGGGGGCUAGCGUUGUUCGGAAUUACUGGGCGUAAAGCGCACGUAGGCGGACAUUUAAGUCAGGGGUGAAAUCCCGGGGCUCAACCCCGGAACUGCCUUUGAUACUGGGUGUCUUGAGUGUGGAAGAGGUCAGUGGAAUUGCGAGUGUAGAGGUGAAAUUCGUAGAUAUUCGCAGGAACACCAGUGGCGAAGGCGGCUGACUGGUCCACAACUGACGCUGAGGUGCGAAAGCGUGGGGAGCAAACAGGAUUAGAUACCCCCGUAGUCCCUGUCUCUUAUAC